GGUACACGAGGUAAGUAUGUUAGACCUGACGAUUCUAACUUUGGGGAUUAGGCUAAGUACUUAGACAAAGAGGCAGCUAGUUUUUGAGCCAAGGGCCAAAGGUCCAAUCAAGAAACUUAGAACUUGAGAAAGGGGAAUUAAGGUCAGACUAUUAUGGGGACAACUAAAGGAAAGAGGCAGAUAGAGAGAAACAUUGUGACUGGAGGAGAAAGGAUGAUUAUAAGGAGAAGUGUG
rnacentral:lncRNA from 1 species